GAUGAACGCUGGCGGCGUGCCUAAUACAUGCAAGUCGAGCGAACGGACGAGAAGCUUGCUUCUCUGAUGUUAGCGGCGGACGGGUGAGUAACACGUGGAUAACCUACCUAUAAGACUGGGAUAACUUCGGGAAACCGGAGCUAAUACCGGAUAAUAUUUUGAACCGCAUGGUUCAAAAGUGAAAGACGGUCUUGCUGUCACUUAUAGAUGGAUCCGCGCUGCAUUAGCUAGUUGGUAAGGUAACGGCUUACCAAGGCAACGAUGCAUAGCCGACCUGAGAGUGUGAUCGGCCACACUGGAACUGAGACAGGGUCCAGACUCCUACGGGAGGCAGCAGUAGGGAAUCUUCCGCAAUGGGCGAAAGCCUGACGGAGCAACGCCGCGUGAGUGAUGAAGGUCUUCGGAUCGUAAAACUCUGUUAUUAGGGAAGAACAUAUGUGUAAGUAACUGUGCACAUCUUGACGGUACCUAAUCAGAAAGCCACGGCUAACUACGUG
rnacentral:rRNA from 1 species